CAGGGAAGGACCGAAUGUACCCAGAAUGCACCGGGGCGGCAGCGCUCGCUACAGCUGAGUCCCCACUCCGACAAUACAGGCUCGUUACGAGCAGGGCGCAUGCAAGCGUCGCUGGCGCUGCACUUUAAACGUAAAAUUUCUACAACGAACAUAUCAGAAUGAAGAAAGACAUUGUUUUCUCAAUAACGGGGAGCACAGUGAGGGGUCGCUGCCCUCCCAAGGCGGACUAACUGCUGCUGUGGGAUUUUUGUCGUGCGAAGCAAGCGACGUAGUACCGGGUUUGAAGGCUCGAAGGCAUUUCACCUGUCUGUCCUCACCGAGCAUUGUGAAGGGGCUCCCAGCGUGGACAAAGCAGCACCUUUCGCAUGAUGCCAUUAGGCAGGCAUGUAAGCAGUGAAAGUGCACUCCUCUCUGGGUGUCAUGGCUUAUUCUGUUCCUCUCCUGACCACAUGCUGCUUACUACUCUUACAUGGGUCAAGAGUUCAGAUGCUCCCAACAGCAAGGUGGAUGGGAAGGACAGAAAGCUCAGCUGAUGUUGUUCCAGGAGCAGGAAGAUGAAGUCGCCUUCUCUUUGUGCAAAAAAAGAAACACUAAAAAUGGACUUAAAACGAUCAUAAGUUUGAUCUGGAAAAAAUCUAGUUGUUGAGCUGUGGACUUAUUGUUCAACGUAUUGAAUAAAAUGUUACCAUGGCUGCUGAUCCUCCGUGACAUCCACUUUAUCUGAGCGUCGAGAAAGCAUGUCAGCUUACAACAUGCUGCGAAACGGCAGUGCUGUGGGGAAUGGAGGCCAGCCAUGGGUUCUGCGUUGUUCCAACCGUAUUCGGCUGACCUGGCUCAGCUUCACACUCUUCUUCAUCCUGGUUUUCUUCCCACUGAUAGCACACUAUUAUCUCACCACCAUCGAUGAGGCUGGGGGGCCGGACAAGCGAAUUUUCGGGCCCCGGCCGGGGGGUGAGCUGUGUGAGGUGAAGCAUGUACAAGACCUGUGCCGUAUCCGCGAGUCUGUGAGUGAGGAGCUCCUGCAGCUCGAGGCCAAGCGCCAGGAGCUGAACGGUGAGAUUGCACGGCUCAACCUGAAGAUCGAGGCCUGCAAGAAGAGCAUCGAUAAUGCCAAGCAGGACCUGCUGCAGCUCAAGAAUGUCAUCAGCCAGACUGAGCAUUCGUACAAGGAGCUCAUGGCGCAGAACCAGCCCAAGCUGUCUCUUCCUGUCCGCCUACUGCCCGACAAGGACGAUGCAGGGCUUCCGCUGCCAAAGUCAGCCCGUGCCUGUAGGCUUCACUCUUGCUUUGACUACUCUAGGUGCCCACUGACCUCUGGGUUUCCAGUCUAUGUCUAUGACCCAGGUACCUACCCCUGGGGUGAAAACCUGGACCCUCUCGUUAGACAGGCUUUUGCUGCCGCUGUAAAAACCAACAUUUAUGUCACAGACAACCCGAACAUUGCCUGCUUGUAUGUAGUGCUUGUUGGGGAACUGCAGGAGUCUCCUUUCCAUUCUUCUCUCUCUCCAUCCAACCUCGAGAAGCAGCUGCAUGCCUUACCUUUCUGGAGAACUGAUGGACACAACCACUUGCUGGUCCACCUGUCCAGGAAGUCCAUGACGCAAAACUUCCUCUACAACGUGAGUACUGGCCGAGCAGCAGUGGCGCAGUCUACCUUUUUGGAACGCCAGUACCGCGUGGGUUUCGACCUCGUGGUGUCUCCCCUGGUCCACGCACUGUCUGAGCCCAACUUCCUAGAGGUGCCACCUCAGGUGCCAGUGAAGAGAAAGUACCUUUUCAGUUUCCAAGGAGAGAAGGUUGAGUCACUCAGGAGCAGCUUACAAGAAGGCCCACCCCAGUCCUUCGAGGAGGAGAUGGAGGGCGACCCACCUGCUGACUACGAUGACCGCAUCAUCGGCACCUUGAAGGCAGUACAGGACAGCCAUCUUGACCAGGUGCUCGUGGAGUUCACCUGCAAGAACCGACCACAGCCAAGUCUGCCCACAGAGUGGGCGCUCUGUGGGGAGCGCGAGGAGCGACUGGAGGUGCUGAAGGCCUCCACUUUCGCGUUAGUAAUUUCUCCAGGUGAUGGACAGCUGUUAGCAUCUGCAGGGUGUGGCAUGCGCCUGUUUGAGGCCCUGGAGGUUGGCGCAAUCCCUGUUAUACUGGGGGACCACUCCCGGCUGCCCUAUCAUGACAUGAUUAGCUGGAAUGAGGCAGCCUUGUUGGUGCCGAAGCCCCGUAUUACGGAGCUGCACUUCCUCCUGCGUAGCAUCUCUGACAAUGACUUGCUGGCCAUGAGGCGCCAGGGCCGCUUCCUGUGGGAAACCUACUUCUCCACAGCUGAGAGCGUCUUCGGCACCAUUUUGGCUAGCAUCCGCACACGCAUCCAGAUACCAGCUGCUCCCAUUCGAGAGGAGCCUGCCCAGGAGAUCCCCCACAAGGCAGGGAAAACUGCUGGUACUGACCCGAACAUGGCCGACAACGGGGACCUGGACCUGGGGCCGGUGGAAACGGAGCCACCGUAUGCCUCGCCCCGUUACCUGCGCAACUUCACCUGCACAGCUGCAGACACUUACCGUGCCUGGAACCGCCCACCAGGACCCUUUCACCUGUUCCCUCAUACACCCUUGGACCCUGUGCUGCCAUCCGAGGCCAAGUUUCUGGGCUCGGGGACAGGUUUCCGUCCCAUCGGAGGAGGCACAGGGGGCUCAGGGAAGGAAUUUCAGGCAGCUCUUGGGGGAAACGUGCCACGGGAACAGUUCACUGUGGUCAUGCUUACGUACGAACGGGAGGAGGUACUGAUGAACUCCCUGGAGAGACUUAACGGGCUGCCCUACCUCAACAAGGUGGUGGUGGUGUGGAACUCCCCCAAACCACCCUCUGAGGACCUUCUCUGGCCAGACAUUGGCCUUCCUAUUGUGGUUGUUCGCACAGAGAAGAACAGUCUCAAUAACCGCUUCCUGCCCUGGGAUGUUGUGGAGACGGAGGCCAUCUUGUCCAUUGACGAUGACGCGCAUUUGCGGCACGACGAAAUCAUGUUUGGCUUUCGGAAUGUGCAAGGAGACAGGCAUGCUGUGCUAACAAGCACUGCUCCAUCAGGGUGUGGCGCGAGGCGCGGGACCGCAUCGUGGGCUUCCCUGGGAGGUACCAUGCCUGGGACGCCAGCCACCAGUCCUGGCUCUACAACUCCAACUACUCGUGCGAGCUCUCCAUGGUGCUCACCGGCGCCGCCUUCUUUCACAAGUACUACGCGUACCUGUACUCGUACGUGAUGCCCCAGGCCAUCCGGGACAUGGUGGAUGAGUACAUCAACUGCGAGGACAUCGCCAUGAACUUCUUAGUGUCUCACAUCACCCGCAAACCGCCCAUCAAGGUGACAUCUCGCUGGACCUUCCGCUGCCCCGGCUGCCCCCAGGCAUUGUCCCACGAUGACUCGCACUUCCAUGAGCGCCACAAGUGCAUCAACUUCUUUGUAAAGGUGUACGGCUACAUGCCGCUGCUCUACACGCAGUUCCGUGUGGACUCUGUGCUCUUCAAGACCCGACUGCCUCACGACAAGACCAAGUGCUUCAAAUUCAUAUAGGAGCCGAGGUCCUGUAAGCAGGGACAGACGCGGGAAUCUCGGAGCUGUUUGGACAUCAAACUCUUCUGUUUGAGCGUAACACAGACUGGAGUGGACCAUACAAAAAGCCGAAAAGACUGCUGCCAAAGUUAAAGUUUUCCAUUUUUCUUUUGUUUGUUUGUGUGUGUGUGUAAACCACUACAGUCCUUAUUGACGCCACUUUGGCUGCCUACAGAACUUGUUGGAUAACCUGCGGUACACAUUUCAGACUGGCAUUGAAGGAAGAGGGGGAGGUGUUUUGUUGUGGGUGAUCCCACAGAAGACUAGAGCGGUGGACACAGAGGUCAACUCAUCAUUGCACUCAGCUGCAUUUUUUUAACAGCCGUUUUACAUUUAUAUUUGCGUACAUGAGAACGUUAAAAGCACUGGUCACCUCUAUUUUAUUCAGAUGCGUUUUUAAAAUGUGAUGUUUAACUGUACAAAUUCUCUGUAUAUAGUGGAAAGUCAUCAAACAGUUGUUUCAUUGCCUAAUUUGUGUGUACUUUAUAGACUGAAGUAAAAAGAACCCUGUUGCUACUGUACUGAAGCAGAGUUUGCCAAAGGCCCCACAGUGAGAUAAAGUGUUUUAUACACAAGCACACGUUUUCUGCACUGCUGUACAUCAGCAAAUGAGAGGUUGACAUCACUGCCACAGUGAGUGGCUCUUGUGUUCCUUUUAGAGAAAGUGGGAGCGGUUACGGAACUGAAUAAAACAUGUUAAAACCACUGUUUUAGCCUAAAAAUACUUGUCGUUCCACUGGUUACCUUUUGCGCUGUAUGGCUGCCCAAUCCUUCGCUGUCAAAAAUGGUUUUUCUUUGUGUCUCUUAGAAGUCACAGUUUGCUGUGGUCUUUCAAAUUUCUCCAUUCUUCCCCUCAUCUGUGGCGCAGGUUGUUGAUACACUUGACGUGCGCUAACCUCUUCAAUGGCUGCAAAUUUUUCAUGCUUUUGGGUUGAAAGCUCUGUUGCACAUGGGCAUCUCCAAGUGGAAAAAGGAUUUCCCUACAUUUCCCAGGGCUGCGACUUGCGUCCUCCAGGCUCCCGGUGUGGACUGCCGAGGGCCACUUGCGAAGAGCUCGGUGCUGGUAAGCAAGCUGUGAGCAGGUGUGCGGUCAGUUGGUUCCUCGACAGGGAUUAGCCUACAGCGUGUCCAAAGCUGGAGCUUUGAAGCCACACAAGCGCUGGAGCUGUUGUCUGCGUUGUUUGUUCUGAGCUUACAGGGGACACAAUCGUUUUACUUCUGUUGUGCUGGGUUUCACAAGCGAGCAUCCUGGUGGUAAUUUGACUGUGGACCACUGUAGGGUAGCGAUAUGCCAUAUGACUCCGCAUGGCUGCCCAGCGUUCAUUUUCUGGAACUUCAUUCUCUACCCAAAAUGUCCAAUCAUGUGCGUUUCCCUGCUAAUUAUUAUUAAAUGUUCCGUCAAUAGAGAAGAUACAUGGCAGAUUCGAGUGACUGGACUACAUCACGCUCUGGGUAUUUGUACGCCUACGUGAUGUAUUGUCGGAGUGAUCUCGAAAGGACUCCUCUUUCAAAAGUACACAGCUGCUUUGUGUUACAAGAAAUGAGGGAAGAACAGCAGUGACGUGGAGCCGAUCUGCAUGUACGGCCGCAGUGUGUAUUGGAGAUGUCGUCAUCAGCGGGCCUGGGGACACCCCGCACCCUUUGGACACACUGGCCAGUUAAUGGGCUGCAGCUGGACGAAUGUUUUCUGUAGAACAGUCUGUAGUUCACCUGCCAGUUACAUAACCUUUGUUGUUCUGUUUCUCUCA